rnacentral:misc_RNA from 1 species
UUGUUUUGGGCUAGUAAUUGGGUUCCUUUCCUGCAUUAGCUUCGUUGGUUGAUGAAGACAGUCAUUGUUUUUAAGGGAGGAGCAGCUGUGGAGUAAAGAUGAUCCACGAGUAAAGCUGAAGAAAAUGUCUUGUACUUGUUAUGAAAUAUUGAAUAUAAGGUUAUUUCGUCUUGUAAGUUCAUCCAGUGGAGCUUGUAAGUCUUUGCAGUCAAGAUGUAAAGAUUGUGAUCAUCUUGUACCUUGCAUUUGUUGUUUUUAUCACCCCUAGAAGAGUGAUAUUUACUAAAUACAUGUGCUUGGAUGAUUCAAUCUGGAAUUGGCAGGGCGACCCGCCAAUCAUGUACCUUCGCUUCUUUUCUAAUAUCAUCACAACUUGCUGUUUUCCCUUUGGAUGAAGGGUAUAAAAAAAAAAAGCGAAGGUACAUGAUUGGCGGGUCGCCCUGCCAAUUCCAGAUUGAAUCAUCCAAGCACAUGUAUUUAGUAAAUAUCACUCUUCUAGGGGUGAUAAAAACAACAAAUGCAAGGUACAAGAUGAUCACAAUCUUUACAUCUUGACUGCAAAGACUUACAAGCUCCACUGGAUGAACUUACAAGACGAAAUAACCUUAUAUUCAAUAUUUCAUAACAAGUACAAGACAUUUUCUUCAGCUUUACUCGUGGAUCAUCUUUACUCCACAGCUGCUCCUCCCUUAAAAACAAUGACUGUCUUCAUCAACCAACGAAGCUAAUGCAGGAAAGGAACCCAAUUACUAGCCCAAAACAAGUGCAAUUCCUUUUCUCAACUAAAACCCUGAUAGGACUCGGGAUAUGAUCUCGACAACCAAGAAUGCUUUAGCUUAAUUAUCAAAGCAAAUAUGCCAUAGCAAAGGAUAUGCAUAAUCCCAACUCCUAUGUACCAUAAGGGAGCAUAUGGGGAUGACAAGUCAAGAAAUGGAUAUGGCCACCACAUCGAAACACAUGCAUGGAUGAUCCACUGAAAGAUGACAAAUAUACAUGUCCACAAAAUAAAAUAUGCAAUCCGAAAGGUGGGAAACCGCAAACUAUUCAAAAAUGUGUCCCCAACGAGUAAGACAGCAUUGACAGAGUGCAUGCAAGCAUUCAGAAAAUCGAGAGUAUAAUAUUUGGACAUUACAAAUGGAUAAAGAAUAAACCAGAAUACAGUAUCAGUGAGCACCACGGCACCUGCAGAAGUCUGAAAAAUAAUUUGAAAAACAUAGCCCCAUCGACCAGCAGUUAGGCGACCUCGAGGUUCUCCAUUCAUAUCUAGACUUUUGGGCAAGUCAAAUGUAUCUGCAGUUUCCCCAAGUGCGGGAGCUGUAUAGUGAUCACCAUUGAGUCCAUGGCGAUGUUUGCAACACCCAUAAAUGGAUAAUGAAGAUCCAAGCGCAAAAUAGAUUGUGACCAAAGUAAAAGUCCACUGAGUGUAGAAGUAAAAAAUGCCAACUCCAUCAACAACAGCGUUUGCUGUGAUCAGUGAGAACAUGAUAAUGAAAGCAAUUAUCCUAAACCCAAGCAACCAAGCAGGAUGAAGUCCUUUUAGACAUGUCUUCCAAGCUUCAUCCUCAUAUAAAAAUCCCGCACUUUCUUGCUGAUUUUCUCUCCUCUCAGAUUUUGAUUUCCUUGAUCCUUCAUACUUCCAUAUUAGAAUUGCCGCAAAUAUCAUAGCAAGUAAGAUAAAUACUGCACAGAUGGAGAACCUCCAGUUCAACCAGUAACUUAAAGUGGUUGUAUCGGCAGUCAUGACAGGCUGCCAAGUAUGCUUUGAGGAUCUGCUUCCAAAGUGAAAUGGUGAUCACGCAAAAGAAGAUGCUUUGCUUCUCUCAAUCCUCUGUGGGAGAGAGAGAAAGAGAGCAAUAUAGCUACCUUAAAGGAAUUUGUUUAUUGGCCUCUUAGGAUUAAUAAAAAAAGAACUUGUCUGAUUCUCCAAAUCCUGAAAGACUGGAGAAGAUUCAGUAGAGCAAAUGGAUUGCAAAAUUGCAAAAUUGCAAAAUUUAGCUUCUGGGUAUUGUUUUUCAAAUGAAAAACAAAAAGGGUUGAACCUAGUUGUUGUAAUCGCGUGCUGGAUUGCCGGGACUGGGAGAGAGAGAGAGAG